GUGUACUUCUUGGCUCUAGUCGAUCUCAAGGCUGUUUUGGUUUAAAAAAUGGAUGCAUGCAUAUUAUAGCAGAACAGUGGUGCUAAGGCUACUUGAAAAAAAAUACAAAUCUUUGAUUAUUGCAUCUGUUGAGCAGUGUGUUUCCUAUCUUGAAACUUGUGAAUCAGUGGUUGAUAAAACAGGCAGGUUUAAUUCUUCCUCUACAUUGCAUAAUGGUAAUAAACAGAAGAAUUUUUACACUGGAAAAGAAUUGCAGUAUAUAUAUUUUGUUCAUUCCCUGAGCCUCUUAGGAAGAUUGUUGAUAUAUAAACAAGGCAGAAGACUUUUUCCUAUUCAGCUGAAAAACAGAAAAGGUAAGUGCGUGUUAAAGAACAUAGAAGCAUAGAAACAU